rnacentral:rRNA from 1 species
AACGAACGCUGGCGGCAGGCUUAACACAUGCAAGUCGAACGCAUCCUUCGGGGUGAGUGGCAGACGGGUGAGUAACGCGUGGGAACGUGCCCUUCAGUUCGGGAUAACCCAGGGAAACUUGGGCUAAUACCGGAUACGUGCGAGAGCAGAAAGAUUUAUCGCUGAAGGAUCGGCCCGCGUCUGAUUAGCUAGUUGGUGGGGUAAUGGCCCACCAAGGCGACGAUCAGUAGCUGGUCUGAGAGGAUGAUCAGCCACAUUGGGACUGAGACACGGCCCAAACUCCUACGGGAGGCAGCAGAGGGGAAUAUUGGACAAUGGGCGCAAGCCUGAUGCAGCGACGCCGCGUGAGGGAUGACGGCCUUCGGGUUGUAAACCUCUUUCAGCAUCGACGAAGCGAAAGUGACGGUAGGUGCAGAGGAAGGACCGGCCAACUACGUGCCAGCCGCCGCUGUAA